rnacentral:rRNA from 1 species
AUUGAACGCUGGCGGCAUGCCUUACACAUGCAAGUCGAACGGCAGCGGGGACUUCGGUCCGCCGGCGAGUGGCGAACGGGUGAGUAAAGUAUCGGAACGUACCUUUCAGUGGGGGAUAACGUAGCGAAAGUUACGCUAAUACCGCAUAUUCUGUGAGCAGGAAAGCAGGGGAUCGCAAGACCUUGCGCUGAUUGAGCGGCCGAUAUCAGAUUAGCUAGUUGGUGAGGUAAAGGCUCACCAAGGCGACGAUCUGUAGCGGGUCUGAGAGGAUGAUCCGCCACACUGGAACUGAGACACGGUCCAGACUCCUACGGGAGGCAGCAGUGGGGAAUUUUGGACAAUGGGGGCAACCCUGAUCCAGCCAUGCCGCGUGAGUGAAGAAGGCCUUCGGGUUGUAAAGCUCUUUCGGCCGGGAAGAAAUCGUAUGGGUUAAUACCCUGUGCGGAUGACGGUACCGGCAUAAGAAGCACCGGCUAACUACGUGCCAGCCGCCGCCGUAAAAC